rnacentral:rRNA from 1 species
CGAUGGUAGGAUAGAGGCCUACCAUGGUGGUAACGGGUAACGGGGUGUUAGGGCACGACACCGGAGAGGGAGCCUGAGAAACGGCUACCACAUCCAAGGAUGGCAGCAGGCGCGCAAAUUACCCAAUCCCGACACGGGGAGGUAGUGACAAUAAAUAACGAUACGGGGUUCUUUAGGAUCUCGUAAUUGGAAUGAGUACAAUUUAAAUCUCUUAACGAGGAACAAUUGGAGGGCAAGUCUGGUGCCAGCAGCCGCGGUAAUUCCAGCUCCAAUAGCGUAUAUUAAAGUUGUUGCAGUUAAAAAGCUCGUAGUUGAAUUUCGGGGUUAGUAGGUUGGUCAUGCCUCUGGUAUGUACUGGUCUCACUGAUUCCUCCUUCCUGAUGAGCCGUAAUGCCAUUAAUUUGGUGUUGCGGGGAAUUUGGACUGUUACUUUGAAAAAAUUAGAGUGUUUAAAGCAAGCUAACGCUUGAAUACAUUAGCAUGGAAUAAUGAAAUAGGACGUUCGAUCCUAUUUUGUUGGUUUCUAGGAUUGACGUAAUGAUUAAUAGGGAUAGUUGGGGGCAUUAGUAUUCAAUUGUCAGAGGUGAAAUUCUUGGAUUUAUUGAAGACUAACUACUGCGAAAGCAUUUGCCAAGGAUGUUUUCAUUAAUCAAGAACGAAAGUUAGGGGGAUCGAAGACGAUCAGAUACCGUCGCAGUCUUAACCAUAAACUAUGCCGACUAGGGAUUCGGAAGANGUUAAUUUUUUAAUGACUCAAUCGGCGCCUUACGGAAACCA